rnacentral:tRNA from 1 species
UGGGGUGUAGCUUAGUGAUGUAGAGUGCUUGCCCAGCAGGCAUGAGGUUCUGGGUUCCAUCCCUAGCACCACAA